GCUCUUGUAACUCAGUGGUAGAGUGGGCGAUUGCAGAUCGCCAAGUCGCUUGUUCGAACCAGGCCGGGAGCU
rnacentral:tRNA from 3 species